CCUACGGGAGGCAGCAGUAAGGAAUAUUGGUCAAUGGAGGCAACUCUGAACCAGCCAUGCCGCGUGCAGGAAGACAGCCCUUGGGUCGUAAACUGCUUUUAUCUGGGAAUAUGUACCAGAAGAAUAAGGAUCGGCUAACUCCGUGCCAGCAGCCGCGGUAAUACGGAGGAUCCAAGCGUUAUCCGGAUUUAUUGGGUUUAAAGGGUGCGUAGGCGGCCUGUUAAGUCAGGGGUGAAAGACGGUAGCUCAACUAUCGCAGUGCCCUUGAUACUGACAGGCUUGAAUGAACUAGAGGUAGGCGGAAUGUGACAAGUAGCGGUGAAAUGCAUAGAUAUGUCACAGAACACCGAUUGCGAAGGCAGCUUACUAUGGUUUAUUGACGCUGAGGCACGAAAGCGUGGGGAUCAAACAGGAUUAGAUACCCUUGUAGUC
rnacentral:rRNA from 1 species